AGAGUAGUUGGGUAAUUGGUCAACCCCCUGCAUUUGGGAUGCAGAAAUUGGAAGUUCGAGUCUUCUCUACUCUACAA
rnacentral:tRNA from 1 species